UACGAAGGGGGGCUAGCGUUGCUCGGAAUCACUGGGCGUAAAGCGCACGUAGGCGGAUUCUUAAGUCAGGGGUGAAAUCCUGGAGCUCAACUCCAGAACUGCCUUUGAUACUGAGGGUCUUGAGUUCGGGAGAGGUGAGUGGAACUGCGAGUGUAGAGGUGAAAUUCGUAGAUAUUCGCAAGAACACCAGUGGCGAAGGCGGCUCACUGGCCCGAUACUGACGCUGAGGUGCGAAAGCGUGGGGAGCAAACAGGG
rnacentral:rRNA from 1 species